GUUAUUAGAAAAUAACUCGUUUAACGUAUUUUGUUUGUAAGAACUAGGUAACUAAGCAAGAAUUUACCGUGCCCUUGUCCUUUUUUUUGGAAUUAUGUACCUCUUUGCAACAAUUACUUUGGGAAGUCCUAGAUAAAAAAGAGUUCAACUUCUAUAUAUAUCUGACAGUUUAGUGGCAAAUUACGAAUAUUAUCAAAGGUGGUCAUGAUUUAAUGUAUAUGUAUACAAAACAAUUUUAAUUUAUAUAUACAAUAUAAUAUUUUAUAUAAUUUUAACGUAAUUUUUUUGGUGAAAGGUGUUUAUAAACCACCCUUUACUCUAUAUUAAUUACUUGAACAUAUAAAAUAGAUUAUUUGUUAUUACAACAGAUUAAAAUACACGGUGUUGUAACUUUUUAUUUUAU